UGAGGAACAUGACCUUCGGCGGGGAUAGCCAGCCCAACGGCCGGGUAAUACCGCGUACGACCANUGU
rnacentral:rRNA from 1 species